GAUCAGUGGCUCGAGGACGAACGCUGGCGGCGUGCCUAACACAUGCAAGUCGAACGAAGACCAUAGAGGAGCUUGCUUUGAUAUGGUUUUAGUGGCGGACGGGUGAGUAACGCGUGAGGACUUGUCGAGUACAGGGGGACAACAGGUGGAAACGUCUGCUAAUACCCCAUAAGCCUUAUGGUAAAAGGAGCGAUCCGGUACACGAGAGACUCGCGUUCUAUCAGCUAGUAGGUGGGGUAACGGCCCACCCAGGCCAAGACGGAUAGCCGGACUGAGAGGUCGAUCGGCCACACUGGAACUGAGACACGGUCCAGACUCCUACGGGAGGCAGCAGUGGGGAAUAUUGGGCAAUGGGGGAAACCCUGAACCCCAGCGACGCCGCGUGAGUGAAGAAAUCCCUCGGGAUGUAAAACUCUGUUGUGUGGGAAGAUAAUGACGGUACCACACGAGGAAGCCCCGGCAAACUACGUGCCAGCAGCGGC
rnacentral:rRNA from 1 species